GGGCUCAGCCGGGAUUUGAACCCGGGACCUCGCGCACCCGAAGCGCGAAUCAUACCCUAGACCACUGAGCC
rnacentral:tRNA from 1 species